GCCAGCAGCCGCGGUAAUACGAAGGGGGCGAGCGUUGUUCGGAAUUACUGGGCGUAAAGGGAGCGCAGGCGGUUCAUUUAGUCAGACGUGAAAGCCCCGGGCUCAACCCGGGAGGUGCGUUUGAUACUGGUGAGCUAGAAAUCAUAAGAGGAUGGUGGAAUUCCCAGUGUAGAGGUGAAAUUCGUAGAUAUUGGGAAGAACACCAGUGGCGAAAGCGGCUAUCUGGUCUGUAUUUGACGCUGAGGCUCGAAAGCGUGGGGAGCAAACAGGAUUAGAUACCCUGGUAGUCCACGCCGUAAACGAUGACAGCUAGAUGUCCGGGGUUACCUCUCCGGUGUCCGGACGCUAACGCAUUAAGCUGUCCGCCUGGGAAGUACGGUCGCAAGAUUAAAACUCAAAGGAAUUG
rnacentral:rRNA from 1 species